CAACCGUUGUUCGGAUUCAUUGGGCGUAAAGGGUGCGUAGGCGGCGGGGUAAGUCAGGUGUGAAAUCUCGGGGCUCAACCCCGAAACUGCACUUGAUACUGCCUCGCUUGAGUACUGGAGAGGAGACUGGAAUUUACGGUGUAGCAGUGAAAUGCGUAGAUAUCGUAAGGAAGACCAGUGGCGAGGGCGAGUCUCUGGACAGUUACUGACGCUGAGGCACGAAGGCCAGGGGAGCAAACGGG
rnacentral:rRNA from 1 species